rnacentral:rRNA from 1 species
CCUCAAAUCAGGUAAGAAUACCCGCUGAACUUAAGCAUAUCAAUAAGCGGAGGAAAAGAAAAUAACAAUGAUUCCCUCAGUAACGGCGAGCGAAGAGGGAUAAGCUCAAAUUUUAAAUCUGUUGGGUUCCGCUUAACAGAGUUGUAUUUUGAAGAAACGUUUUCUGCAUCCAGGAUUAGCCUAAAUCCUUUGGGAUAAGGUAUCAUGGAGGGUGAGAAUCCCGUUCAUGGUUAAUCUUAAGGAAGCUCUACGAUACGUUUUCCAAGAGUCGAGUUGUUUGGGAUUGCAGCUCAAAAUGGGAGGUAAAUUUCUCCUAAGGCUAAAUAUUGGCGAGAGACCGUUAGCGAACAAGUACCGUGAGGGAAAGAUGAAAAGAACUUUGAAAAGAGAGUUAAACAGUACGUGAAAUUGUUGAAAGGGAAACGAUUGAAGUCAGUCGUACCAGCGGGAAAUCAACCUUUCGUGUGGGGGUUUUGGAGUUUUGAAGAGUGUCAAAACCUUUGAGAUUUCGAAAUUUUCGCUCCUUUGGUGUACUUUCUCGUGGGUAGGUUAACAUCGAUUUUGAUCAUCAUAAAAAGAUUGGAGGAAUGUAGCUUCGAUCUUGUAUUGAAGUGUUAUAGCCUUUGGUAAAUGUGAUGAUUAGGAUCGAGGAUUGCAACGAAUACCCUUUUGGGCUAUCCGCCUGAUCUCUGAUACGUGGCCUUGGUAUCGAAAGCGUGCUUAUGGUAUUGAGGUAUUACGGUCAAAAGGUUAGAACGGAUUACAUUCGUUAAGGAUGUUGACGUAAUGGCUUUAAACGACCCGUCUUGAAACACGGACCAAGGAGUCUAACAUAUAUGCGA